UGCAGCCUUGUCAAAUUCAGCACUUCCUGAUCAGUGGAUGGUGCUGGCCAAAAUGGCUGCUACAUAAAUAUCAGCUUGCGGGCCUCAUGUCUGUACAGUUGGGCAAUGAGGACAAGCGAGCUGAUAACACGG